rnacentral:SRP_RNA from 2 species
GCCAGGCAUGGUAGCACAUGCCUGUAGUUUCAGUUACUUGGGAGGCUGAGGCAGGAGGAUUGCUUGAGCCCAGGAAGUUGAGGCUGCAGUGAGCCAUGACUGCACCACUGCACUCCAGCCUGGGCAAUAGAGCAAGAUCCUGUCUCAA